rnacentral:rRNA from 1 species
AAUGGGCGAAAGCCUGUCGCAGCGACGCCGCGUGAGUGAAGAAGGUCUUCGGAUCGUAAAACUCUGUCCUUGGGGAAGAUAAUGACGGUACCCAAGGAGGAAGCCCCGGCUAACUACGUGCCAGCAGCCGCGGUAAUACGUAGGGGGCGAGCGUUGUCCGGAUUUACUGGGCGUAAAGGGUGAGUAGGCGGUUAUUUAAGUCAGAUGUAAAAGGCUGUGGCUCAACUAUAGUAAGCAUUUGAAACUGGAUAACUUGAGUGCAGGAGAGGUAAGUGGAAUUCCUAGUGUAGCGGUGAAAUGCGUAGAUAUUAGGAGGAACACCAGUGGCGAAGGCGACUUACUGGACUGUAACUGACGCUGAGUCACGAAAGCGUGGGUAGCAAACAGGAUUAGAUACCCUGGUAGUCCACGCUGUAAACGAUGAGUGCUAGGUGUUGGCUAGCGAUAGUCAGUGCCGACGUAAACACAAUAAGCACUCCGCCUGGGGAGUACGGU